CCCCCGGGCGCAGGUCCGGCUGGGGAGCGGAACGGCAUGGGAGGGCCGGCCGCAGCGGGUGACAGCCCCGUACGCGAACCCAGACCGGACGGCGCGACGCGGUCCCUGAGUAGGGCCGGGCACGUGAAACCCGGUCCGAACCUGGGUGGACCACCAUCCAAGCCUGAGUACUACCCUGUGACCGAUAGCGCACCAGUACCGUGAGGGAAAGGUGAAAAGCACCCCGGGAGGGGAGUGAAACAGUACCUGAAACCGUGCGCCCACGAGCAGUCGGAGCAACUUUUAGUUGUGACGGCGUGCCUUUUGUAGAAUGAGCCAGCGAGUCGCUGGCGCGGGGCGAGGUUAACCGAAAGGGAGCCGAAGCGAAAGCGAGCCUUAACAGGGCGACUUGAGUCCCGCGCCGCGGACGCGAAGCCGGGUGAGCUAUCCGUGGGCAGGCUGAAGCGGGGGUAAGACCCCGUGGAGGGCCGAACGCACGUCGGUUGAAAACGGCGGCGAUGACCUGCGGAUAGGGGUGAAAGGCCAAUCAAACCCGGAGAUAUCUCGUUCUCCCCGAAAUAGCUUUAGGGCUAGCGUCGCGCGUUCACCGCCGGAGGUAGAGCACCGGAUGGACGAGGGGGCUUCGCCGCCUACCGAAUCCAACCGAACUCCGAAUGCCGGCGGCCCAGAGCGCGGCAGUCAGAGCAUGUGGGCUAAGCUGUGUGCUCGAGAGGGAAACAGCCCGGACCGCCCGCUAAGGUCCCCAAGUUCCAGCCGAGUGGCAAAGGAUGUGCGUCCGCCCAGACAACCAGGAUGUUGGCUUAGAAGCAGCCAUGCAUUCAAAGAGUGCGUAACAGCUCACUGGUCGAGUGGACAUGCGCCGACAAUACACGGGGCUAAGCUGGACACCGAAGCGGCGGGAUUUUGAUUUACAGAAUCGGUAGGGGAGCUUCCCAUGGGCGGAGAAGCCGGAGGGCGACCGACGGUGGAGCGCAUGGGAGUGAGAAUGCUGGCAUGAGUAGCGAGAGACGAGAGAGUAACUCGUCCGCCGUGAACCCGAGGUUUCCUGGGCAAGGCUAAUCCUCCCAGGGUCAGUCGGGGGCUAAGGCGAGGCCGGUAGGCGUAGCCGACGCGCAGCAGGCAGACAUUCCUGCACCGCGCACGCGGCGCUACGACCGACGGGGCGACGGAUGGGGGUGGCUCGGCGGGGUUCUGGACGUCCCCGUGAUGGAGCGCGGCCCGCGGACCAGGGAAAUCCGGUCCGCAUUAAGGGCGAGGCUCCGGACGAAGCGACUGAGCGAAGCGAGUGAGCCCGAGGUCCCUAGAAAAACCCCUAGGCAGGCGCGUGCGCGCCCGUACCGCAAACCGACACAGGUGGGUGGGUAGAACAUACCGAGGCGAUCGGGUCAACCAUGGUCAAGGAACUCGGCACAAUGGCCCCGUAACUUCGGGAGAAGGGGUGCCCGCGCGUACGUGAACGGACUUGCUCCGGGAGCGGAGGCGGGCCGCAGUGGAGAGGCCCAAGCGACUGUUUACCAAAAACACAGGACUCUGCCGAAGCCGCGAGGCGAAGUAUAGGGUCUGACGCCUGCCCGGUGCCGGAAGGUCACGCGGAGGAGUUAGCGCAUCGCGCGAAGCCCCGAAGCCAAGCCCCGGUAAACGGCGGCCGUAACUAUAACGGUCCUAAGGUAGCGAAAUUCCUUGUCGGGUAAGUUCCGACCUGCACGAAAGGCGCAACGACUUGGGCGCUGUCUCGACCAUGGACCCGGUGAAAUUGCACUGGUCGUGAAGAUGCGACUUACCCGCGGAAGGACGGAAAGACCCCGUGAACCUUCACUGCAGCUUGGCAUUGGCCGCUGGUCCCGCGUGUAGAGGAUAGGCAGGAGGCUAAGAUCCGGAGGCGCCAGCCCCCGGGGAGCCGCCCUUGGAAUACUGCCCUCGCGCGACCGGCGUCCUAACCCGAGGCCGUCAACCGGCUCGGGGACCGUGCCAGGCGGGCAGUUUGACUGG
rnacentral:rRNA from 1 species